UGUACUUCAUCGAAUCAUCGAGAGAAGCAGGUUGUGCUCCACAUCUGUCCGCCAAAGAUGAAGAAUUUUGAGUACCUCAAGCGUUUCAGGGAGUUUCUCUUGACCGGCGUCUUUGACUCCAGCUUGUCAAAGAUUGACAAACAAGAUAUGCGCCGCUCUGCUCGCAGCUUUAUAUUGAAAGAUGGCAGGAUGUUCUACACUGGAACUAAUGGGCAAUAUCUUCGUUUGGUGGUGUUAACUGAGGAGGAAAAGAGGUCUGUCCUCCACGAAUGCCACGAUCAUCCAGGGACAGGAAAUCAUCGUGGUUUGAGAGCCACCAGAGACAAGGUUGUUGCUGGUUAUUACUGGUCAACUUUAAAGAAGGACGUGUAUGACUGGGUGAGGUGCUGCCAUCGAUGCCAACUCAAUGAUCCCAUUAGUACACAGACACCAACGUUGCAUCCGAUCAAGGUUAAUGAAACGUGGGAUGUGGUUGGCUUGGACCUCAUUGGCCCUCUCCCUGAGACUGCUAGAGGCCAGAAAUAUAUCCUGACUAUGACAGACCUCUACACAAAGUGGGUUGUUGCUCAGCCACUGUGCAGAAAGAGUGCAAGUCGUGUAUGGCAUUAACACAACUUCACAGGCCUCCACGAAGUACACUCCGUUUUUCCUCAUGUUUCACCGACAUCCUCGCUUUCCUGAAGUGAUGAAUGCUUGUCCAAUUGGAGAUUCAUGGGAGGUUGGAGAUCCAGAGGAAGACAUGGACACCACAGUUGAUAAGAUAAGACUCCUGAAUGAGAAGGUCCUUCAAAACAUUGAACUGGCACAGGAAAGACAGAAGAAAUCUUACGCUAUGCGUAAGAAAAAGUCAGUCAAUGUUGGAGAUUAUGUCCUCAUCUUAGGAAGCCCCAAAGAUCGGUUUCGUUCAGCGGCCAUGUCCAGUCAGCAUGAGGGUCCCUUCACUGUUACCAGCAUCUCUUCAAAAGGCGUGGCAACAGUGAGAAAAAGUCAUGGGAAGCACCGGAUGCUCAACAUAAAGCGCCUCAGGCCAUAUAGGAGAUUGGAGAGUCUUAGUCGUCUGAGCAAGAUAGCGUUUUGGCAUGACCACCCAUAUUGGACUGAUAAGCAUGAUGAUCAUCUUUAUGCUUCAUGUGGAGAGAUAUGGGAGCAGAAGUUGGGUCCUCUUCAGGAUAAACUGUUGUCCUAUGUACUGGACACCAGUCGUCCUGCAAAGGAAUUUAUUGUCAAAGAUGGCAAUCUCUGUCUUGUUCGCGAGGAAUUCUGGACUUUGGGCAUUCCGCGAUGCAUGGAUUCAUCUAUUGGAAAUGCCUGCCUGAGGCUCAUUCAAGAAGCUGCUCAGCGAUAUGGGAAGGACGUUCAUAUUGUGGAUAUGUUUGUCGUGCCCACCUGGAAGUUGGAUCACGUAGACCCCUUAGUUGGUCUGAUGGACAACAUGAGAUCAAAGGAUGUCAUUAUGUUUCCAGCAUGGAGUCGUCAACAGAACCAGUCAGAUCACUACUUGUUAUGUGUGUUACUGGUUAAAGAAAAAGAGAUCCUCUUUUUGGAUUCUCUUCUUCCUCAUGGUUUUGGAGAUGAGUCAUAUAGAGCAAUCUUUAGGUGGAUAUUAAACAAUGUCGUCGUUGGUCCUGUCCUACAGCAUCGUUGGGGAAAUAAGCCUUGUUCACUGGCUUUUGGUUUGUAUUGGAGCCUUGUUCUGUGGCUCGUGGUUUGUAUUGGAGCCUUGUUCUGUGGCUUCUGAUUUGUGUUUUAGCCUUGUCUUGCAACAAGCAGUUCAUAUUUUAGCCUCGUUCAAUGGCUAUGGGUAAGAACCUUCAAAUAAUUUGGUAAAUUAGUGGUUAUAUGGUAUGUAACUGUGCUCUCAUUGUUAUUUCCUAGACGAAUCGCCACAUCACUUGAUACUGGACCAUGGCGGGAGAAAACUGGCAGUGACUUUGAUGGCUUUCCUCAACAAACCUCCUCCAACCAUUGUGGAGUCAUGAUG